rnacentral:lncRNA from 1 species
UUCUAGACCUAAACUAAGACAAAGAGAACGGCUGCAAUCAUCUUUGGAGAUCCAAAAUUCCUAUGCCUCUAACAUAUUGGCCGCUCCUUUGAAAUUUGUCAUCUCCCUUUUACUGCUUUCUAUUUUUUUUUUUCUAUACAUGUAUUUGCUUUCCUAAUAAUUCUCAAAUUCUUUCAUCUAGCUUUUCUCAGAAUAUAAACCACUAAAAUAAGAAAAGGAUUUUUCUCGAACUCAAAAGAGAAAGAGCAGUAGCUUGCACACCUUUCUCUAUGAGACUUAGUUCAUCUAACAGUAAUACUAUAAACUAUUGGAUGAAAUAUUUAGAGGUUUUAUGAGUCCAAAAGACAACGCUUGAAUGUUGAUUCCUUUUGCUUGGAUGAUCACAUUUUCCCAGGAUUUUAGGGAUGGCUUCAUCAAAUCUAUGCGGACAUGCUAUGGAGUUGUGUUUUCUGCUUCUCAUCCUUCAACCCUCCAAAUUCCAUAGAGUUAUGUUAAUAGAAGCGUAAGUUGGACGUUGAAGUGUGCAAAAUUGGGUUCGAUUUAGGAAAUUAGAUCCUCCAUUGGCUUGCAUUCCACGCUUGAUAACGAGUCCAUUUCUAGUUCGAGUGCUUGUUGCCGAUCGAGGUUCCGGUUUGUAAUUUUGGUGUUUCGAUCCAAGUAUUGUUGUUUUCUUUAGCCUGAUUGACUUGCAAUUUUCAGCAUCGUUCAUCAAUAAAAGGUCAAUUUCUCAAUUUUCAUUUUCAUUUUCUUGUGUUACAAUAGCUUGGUGUGUGUUGGAUUGAU